rnacentral:rRNA from 1 species
GACGAACGCUGGCGACGUGCCUAACACAUGCAAGUCGAACGCGCUCCAUUCGGUAGCAAUACCGAUGAAGAGCGAGUGGCGAACGGGUGAGUAGCACGUGAGCAACCUGCCCCGAAGACCGGGACAACACCGGGAAACCGGUGCUAAUACCGGAUAUCCCUAUCGGACCGCAUGAUCUGAUAAGGAAAUGGAUUCCGCUUCGGGAGGGGCUCGCGGCCUAUCAGCUAGUUGGUGGGGUAACGGCCUACCAAGGCAUCGACGGGUAGCUGGUCUGAGAGGACGAUCAGCCACACUGGGACUGAGACACGGCCCAGACUCCUACGGGAGGCAGCAGUGGGGAAUCUUGCGCAAUGGGCGAAAGCCUGACGCAGCAACGCCGCGUGGAGGACGAAGGCUUUCUGAGUUGUAAACUCCUUUCAGCAGGGACGAUAGUGACGGUACCUGCAGAAGAAGCACCGGCCAACUACGUGCCAGCAGCCGCGGUGAUACGUAGGGUGCAAGCGUUGUCCGGAUUUAUUGGGCGUAAAGAGCUCGUAGGCGGUUUGAUAAGUCGGGUGUGAAACCUCCAGGCUCAACCUGGAGCCGCCACUCGAUACUGUCAUGACUAGAAUUCGGUAGGGGACCACGGAAUUCCUGGUGUAGCGGUGAAAUGCGCAGAUAUCAGGAGGAACACCAGCAGCGAAGGCGGUGGUCUGGGCCGGUACUGACGCUGAUGAGCGAAAGCGUGGGGAGCGAACAGGAUUAGAUACCCUGGUAGUCCACGCCGUAAACGUUGGGCACUAGGUGUGGGGCCUAUUCAACGGGUUCCGUGCCGCAGCUAACGCAUUAAGUGCCCCGCCUGGGGAGUACGGCCGCAAGGCUA